rnacentral:rRNA from 1 species
AACGAACGCUGGCGGCAUGCCUAACACAUGCAAGUCGAACGAGAUCUUCGGGUCUAGUGGCGCACGGGUGCGUAACGCGUGGGAAUCUGCCCUUUGGUUCGGAAUAACAGGUGGAAACGACUGCUAAUACCGGAUGAUGACGAAAGUCCAAAGAUUUAUCGCCAGAGGAUGAGCCCGCGUAGGAUUAGCUAGUUGGUGUGGUAAAGGCGCACCAAGGCGACGAUCCUUAGCUGGACUGAGAGGAUGAUCAGCCACACUGGGACUGAGACACGGCCCAGACUCCUGCGGGAGGCAGCAGUGGGGAAUAUUGGACAAUGGGCGAAAGCCUGAUCCAGCAAUGCCGCGUGAGUGAUGAAGGCCUUAGGGUUGUAAAGCUCUUUUACCCGGGAUGAUAACGACAGUACCGGGAGAAUAAGCUCCGGCUAACUCCGUGCCAGCCGCCGCAGUAA